rnacentral:rRNA from 1 species
CCAUGAAGCUGGAUUCGCUAGUAAUCGCGCAUCAGCCACGGCGCGGUGAAUACGUUCCCGGGCCUUGUACACACCGCCCGUCAAGCCAUGGAAGCCGGGAGUGCCUGAAGUGCGUGAGCGCAAGCAGCGCCCUAAGGUAAAACCGGUGACUGGGGCUAAGUCGUAACAAGGUACC